rnacentral:lncRNA from 1 species
CAAGACGUGAACUCAGAGGAAAAGUUCAGAAGCAAAGAGCAGCCGUAGGAAAUGCUGCAAUGGAAACAAAAGCAGGAAUUGUCAAACAUGUAGGAAAUCAUUGCUGUUUCAAAUUCAUUGAAGAUGCUGGAAUCAUUCCAAAGCAGAGCCAGACUGUUAAAUCACAUGAGAGUGGCUGCACUGAGUCAAAUCAAAAGCUCAUCAAGGCAGUAUCCUUAGUUAUCAGUAGCAGCUGCUGAAAAAGCAGAAAAGAAAGAGGACAAGAACGUACCUAACUAAUUUCUGAUAAAAUCUGUACUUCAGGGAUUUCUGGAGCUGUCCAUUGUGACCAGGCUAUUCUCUAAGGUGAGUCCACCUUGACCUUUCUGUCCCAGUGUUCACUGUUUUGUCUGUUUGUACUUUUGACAUUCCAAAAGGUUAUGGCAGGGAGAAAAAUAUGGUUGUGACUCUCCCUGCUGUGUGGAAGAGUGUUCCCCUUUAGUUUGCUUGUAAUGCUCUGCCUGAUCAUCUCAUUCAGUGUCCCCUGCAGUGGGUCAUCGCACACAUCUUGACCUACCUAAAAAGAUACGUGAUUUUAGAUUUCACCUAAUUUUCUUUCCCAGACUGAAGAAUCCCAGCCCAUUCAGUCUCUCCAUUCACAGAAGAUGACCACCUUUCUAUCUUCAUCUGUGCCUUUUCUGAAGGGUUCUCAAGAGUAAAACAAAGUGUGGCCUCCUCGAUAUAAAACACCUUGCUGGUUUUAUUUCACUCCAACCCAGACAUCUGUUCUCCUCCAAGGUGGAAAUAAAGGAGAUAGGUUGGCAUCUGAUGAGCCAGCACUUCAAAGACCAGCACUGGCUUAGCUCCAGUUUCAGGAUUCUUGUUCCCGUACACAGCCUUCAGAUCUGUUCAAUGCUAUGCUAUAGUUUUCUAUGAAAACAGAUCUGUUCCUACAGAAGAAGAGCAUUGCUUACACUGCAAUAUUCUUAAAUAGAUUAUUUCAACAUGGGCACAGCAAUUUUAAAAAACAACCAACCAACCACCACCACAAACAACAACAAAAAAAACCCAGCUGGCAUUUACUGAAGCAGACUUUAUACAGGAGCAAGAUCAAUCUGAGGAAUGUAAACCUCAAGUGCCUACUAUAA